GUGAGGAAUAUUGGUCAAUGGGCGGGAGCCUGAACCAGCCAAGUCGCGUGAAGGAAGAAGGAUCUAUGGUUCGUAAACUUCUUUUGCAGGGGAAUAAAGUGCAGGACGUGUCCUGUUUUGUAUGUACCCUGAGAAUAAGGAUCGGCUAACUCCGUGCCAGCAGCCGCGGUAAUACGGAGGAUCCGAGCGUUAUCCGGAUUUAUUGGGUUUAAAGGGUGCGUAGGUGGUUUGAUAAGUCAGCGGUGAAAGUUUGCAGCUUAACUGUAAAAAUGCCGUUGAAACUGUCAGACUUGAGUGUAAAUGAGGUAGUCGGAAUGCGUGGUGUAGCGGUGAAAUUCAUAGAUAUCACGCAGAACUCCGAUUGCGAAGGCAGCUUACUAAGCUACAACUGACACUGAAGCACGAAAGCGUGGGGAUCAAACAGGAUUAGAAACCCUGGUAGUC
rnacentral:rRNA from 1 species